rnacentral:rRNA from 1 species
AUUGAACGCUAGCGGGAUGCUUAACACAUGCAAGUCGAACGAGUGGCGGACGGGUGAGUAAUAUAUCGGAACGUGCCCAGUAGCGGGGGAUAACUACUCGAAAGAGUGGCUAAUACCGCCUACUCUUGGAGCGGCCGAUAUCGGAUUAGCUAGUUGGUGGGGUAACGGCUCACCAAGGCAACGAUCCCUAGCUGGGUUGAGAGGAAGACCAGCCACACUGGGACUGAGACACGGCCCAGACUCCUACGGGAGGCAGCAGUGGGGAAUUUUGGACAAUGGGUGAAAGCCUGAUCCAGCCAUGCCGCGUGUAUGAGAAGGCCUUCGGGUUGUAAAGUACUUUUGGCUGAGAGGCGGUAUCUGCAGAAGAAGCACCGGCUAACUACGUGCCAGCAGCCGCGGUAAUUC